rnacentral:rRNA from 1 species
CAGCUCAUAGCGUAUAUUAAAGUUGUUGCAGUUAAAAAGCUCGUAGUUGAAUUUCGGGAUCAAAUUGUCGGUCGUGCCUCGGUACGUACUGGCGUUAUUGGUUCCUCCCUUCUGAAGAACCGCGAUGUCAUUAAUUUGGUGUCGCGGGGAAUCAGGACUGUUACUUUGAAAAAAUUAGAGUGUGUAAAAGCAGGCACAC